CCCGAACUAAACUCUAUUGUGAAGGCCGGGUUUUAGACUGACCCUUGGCUGGAUACUUUUGUUGGACCUGGCAACCCUGCAUACAGUACAGCAGGUAGAUUCGUGACCUAAACCUGUCCAAACUGUGGCUAACGGACAGUUAAAUCACCUGUGGGGCACUUUAAACAAUCUUUUAUGAGGUAAAAAGCUCUGUAUGCUGAGAGAUUGGGUCGCUUGGGUCUUCAUUAAGGUAGCAUCAGCGCAAGCCGUGACACUGCCUGUGUGAAGAUGCCCAUGAUCCAUGUGCAGUGUCUCCACUAGAGGGCAAGUUUUGCUGAUUAUUUGGCUCUCUUCCUGCGUUACUGAGGAUGAAAGAGCUAAAGGCUAUGGUGCUCCUGUGAUGUGUUGUGGUGAUGUCCCCAGCCAAUCAAAAACUGUGUGACAGUUUUGGAAUGCAGCAGUUUAGACAACGCUAAUAGGUGUGACGAAUUGACUGCAUUUAAGAGCUUACUGAAUAGGCCUCAGCAUGUGGAGUCUAAGGAGUUAACCCUUUCAGCCACAGUCACGCAGGGUCUUCCCUCUACCCUGCAGGCGCUUAAGCUACAUAGCAUGACACCGGCCACUUGGAGCAUCUGGCAUUACAGAGUUCUGCUGGGACUUCAGGGGUCAAGGGUGGGAAAAGGUCCUCAGUGAGAAGAAUCCCCUAAUGGACAGCUGUGCACAUGCAUUUGUUGACAAGCUGAGGGAUACAAAACCGGCAUCUGAAGUUGAAGAAGCAUGUGGACUGAGGGGGUAGCAGGGUAAUAUAGGUGUUUCGAGUUCUGAUGUCUCGUGCAGUUCCAUAUAUUACAGCCACCAAAAAAAGGUAAUUACAAUAAUAUUUUAUAAAUGUAUUAUUUCUAUGACUUAUAAACAAAACCCUAACAUAAAUAUAAUCCUCGGUCUUCAGUGUGAAUCAGAAGAAAUAAAUCUUAAUC